UUGGAGGGCAAGUCUGGUGCCAGCAGCCGCGGUAAUUCCAGCUCCAAUAGCGUAUAUUAAAGUUGUUGCAGUUAAAAAGCUCGUAGUUGAAUUUCGGGGUUAGUAGGCUGGUCAUGCCUCUGGUAUGUACUGGUCUCACUGAUUCCUCCUUCCUGAUGAACCGUAAUGCCAUUAAUUUGGUGUUGCGGGGAAUUUGGACUGUUACUUUGAAAAAAUUAGAGUGUUUAAAGCAAGUUAACGCUUGAAUACAUUAGCAUGGAAUAAUGAAAUAGGACGUUCGAUCCUAUUUUGUUGGUUUCUAGGAUUGACGUAAUGAUUAAUAGGGAUAGUUGGGGGCAUUAGUAUUCAAUUGUCAGAGGUGAAAUUCUUGGAUUUAUUGAAGACUAACUACUGCGAAAGCAUUUGCCAAGGAUGUUUUCAUUAAUCAAGAACGAAAGUUAGGGGAUCGAAGACGAUCAGAUACCGUCGUAGUCUUAACCAUAAACUAUGCCGACUAGGGAUCGGAUGAUGUUAAUUUUUUAAUGACUCAUUCGGCGCCUUACGGGAAAC
rnacentral:rRNA from 1 species